rnacentral:rRNA from 1 species
GCACUAAUCUCCCCAGGGAAACCUGGCCCUUAAUUCGAUAAUCCACGAACAUCUUACCUUUUCUAGUUUCGCCUAUCCUUAGCUGGAAGGCGAAGAUCAGCUUGCAUACCGCCGUUGUUCAGCUUAUACCGGGAGGGGCAAGAAAUAGGCGACGCAGCAGGGCUUUAGCCCUGCUACCAAUUCAGGUAAACGUGCAGCCAAUGAAAAGGGGCUGCUGGGUUGCAUUGUAGGCUUUCUACGAAUCCACGCGAUAAUUUACGUGGUGAAGAAGGACUUGGAAGUAACGACUUCAUAAAGAGAAGCCGUGAAUAAAGCUCUAGUGCGUGU